UCGGGAAUUUUGGGCAAUGGGCGAAAGCCUGACCCAGCAACGCCGCGUGAAGGAUGAAGUAUUUCGGUAUGUAAACUUCGAAAGAAUGGGAAGAAUCAAUGACGGUACCAUUUAUAAGGUCCGGCUAACUACGUGCCAGCAGCCGCGGUAAUACGUAGGGACCAAGCGUUGUUCGGAUUUACUGGGCGUAAAGGGCGCGUAGGCGGCUUUGUAAGUCACUUGUGAAAUCUCCGGGCUUAACUCGGAACGGCCAAGUGAUACUGCAAAGCUAGAGUGCAGAAGGGGCAAUCGGAAUUCUUGGUGUAGCGGUGAAAUGCGUAGAUAUCAAGAGGAACACCUGAGGUGAAGACGGGUUGCUGGGCUGACACUGACGCUGAGGCGCGAAAGCCAGGGGAGCAAACGGGAUUAGAUACCCUUGUAGUCCCUGAGCGGGCUGGCAAGGCGCAU
rnacentral:rRNA from 1 species